rnacentral:sRNA from 14 species
CAGAGAAAUCGAGUAGUAAAUUCGGCAAUUAUGUGCUUAAGACUCAAAAUCGGCAGAUCAGUCUGUAUGGCAGCUAUUUCGAAAUAUAGUCAGAUUGGGACCAUAUUUCAGUUCGGACAUCGAUAAUAUGGAUUUGGGCGCUGAAUAUGGAAGAUAACACAUGUGGAUCUAGAUUUCGGGAUAUUGCACGCAAAAUGCUAAGAUGGUGUCACCCACAACGAAGAGAGACUCAAAAUGGAAUCGACAAUUUUUCCUUUUUUUAGAAGCCUGGUACCCUUAAGAAAAUAUAUAAAUACCUUUU